GCCGCGUGAGUGAUGAAGGUUUUCGGAUCGUAAAACUCUGUUGUUAGGGAAGAACAAGUACGAGAGUAACUGCUCGUACCUUGACGGUACCUAACCAGAAAGCCACGGCUAACUACGUGCCAGCAGCCGCGGUAAUACGUAGGUGGCAAGCGUUGUCCGGAAUUAUUGGGCGUAAAGCGCGCGCAGGCGGUCCUUUAAGUCUGAUGUGAAAGCCCACGGCUCAACCGUGGAGGGUCAUUGGAAACUGGGGGACUUGAGUGCAGGAGAGAAGAGUGGAAUUCCACGUGUAGCGGUGAAAUGCGUAGAGAUGUGGAGGAACACCAGUGGCGAAGGCGACUCUUUGGCCUGUAACUGACGCUGAGGCGCGAAAGCGUGGGGAGCAAACAGGAUUAGAUACCCUGGUAGUCCACGCCGUAAACGAUGAGUGCUAAGUGUUAGAGGGUUUCCGCCCUUUAGUGCUGCAGUAAACGCAUUAAGCACUCCGCCUGGGGAGUACGGCCGCAAGGCUGAAACUCAAAGGAAUU
rnacentral:rRNA from 1 species